AUUCCUGCCAUACGAUGGUGAUCCUAAAAAUAAUCGUGUUUUGGCAACACUAUAUAGUGGUGAGAACAUCGCUGAACAACUUUUUCUGGCAACUCUGUCUCAUGUUUAUUUACAAUUCAAAUGUCAAAAGUCGCGCACUUUUUCCAUCCGUCCAGCGGAUUGUUAUUCAUUCGAAACAAAGAAAAAUAGUUUGUGCGUGAUUCUGAUCAUUUUUUGUUUAUCUUAUUUUUGGUAUGCGUUUAUUUUGGAGCUGAAAAUCACAGCAUUCGUUGGUCCGGAAGCAUUUGAAGUUGGUUGGAAGCGAAAAAAGUGCCAGCUAAUGUUGGUCAUAUUGUGGAGUCAGGUGGAGCGACAGAGAGAGAGGCCUCUACAAGAUUUUGUGUAUCAACCCUUCCCGGACCAGUUUGAUGCAUUAUGUUGGAUGAUGCGGGCUAAGACUCAAAGAAAAUCUCGGCGACAGCUUGUCAAGCAGGACGUGUGAUCCGGAAUAGCAUGCCUGUGGGUCUUUCCGCUGGGCCGGACUGUCCCGAACCAUCAACACCAAGUUUCCUUCAUUUGCGAAAAGAUCCGAAAGAGCAUCCAUAUGAGGGUCCUUCUGCUGGGCCGAACUGUCCCGAACGGUGAACACCAAGUUUAAUUUACUUCC